rnacentral:rRNA from 1 species
GAUGAAUGCUGGCGGCAUGCCUAAUACAUGCAAGUCGAGCGGUAGCAUGGCUUCACCGUUUCCUUGACACACUUGGCCUUAUGCGAGUGGAAAGAUUCGAGGGAACCGUGAAGCUGAUGACGAGCGGCGGACGGCUGAGUAACGCGUGAGAACAUACCCCAAAGUGAGGGAUAACUAGUCGAAAGAUUAGCUAAUACCGC